GCCAGCAUGGUGUAGUGGUUUCAGCACUGGACUAUACUCGUAACUCUGGAGACCAGAGUUCAAAUCCUGCCUUGGCC